rnacentral:rRNA from 1 species
AUUGAACGCUGGCGGCGUGCUUAACACAUGCAAGUCGAACGUGAAGAAGCAGCAAUGUUUCUGAAAGUGGCGGACGGGUGAGUAACACGUGGGUGACCUGCCUUGCAGAGGGGGAUAACGAGGGGAAACCUUCGCUAAUACCGCAUAGGCUUACACUGAUGGGAAUGGUGUGGGUAAAACUGAGGUGCUGCAAGAGGGGCCUGCGUCCGAUUAGCUAGUUGGUGAGGUAAUGGCUCACCAAGGCGACGAUCCGUAGCUGGUCUGAGAGGAUGAUCAGCCACACUGGAACUGAGACACGGUCCAGACUCCUACGGGAGGCAGCAGUAGGGAAUAUUGGACAAUGGGCGCAAGCCUGAUCCAGCCAUGCCGCGUGAGUGAAGAAGGCCCUCGGGUUGUAAAGCCCUUUUGUCCGGAAGAAAGCUUUGGGUUAAUACCCCGAAGUCCUGACGGUACCGGAAGAAUAAGCACCGGCUAACUUCGUGCCAGCAGCCGCGGUAA